rnacentral:tRNA from 1 species
UGCGGGGUGGUGUAUUGGGCACGCGGGUCUUUGGAGCCUAAGGAGAGAGAGUAGGAGCUCUUCCCCGUAA